rnacentral:rRNA from 1 species
AAUGAACGUUGGCGGCGUGGAUUAGGCAUGCAAGUCGCGCGAGAAGCUAAUUAGCUUGCUAAGAGGCGGACAGCGGCGGAAGGGAGAGUAACGCGUGGUUACGUACCCUCGAGACCGGGAUAGUAGCGGGAAACUGCUAGUAAUACCGGAUAACAUCUUCGGAUCAAAUGGUGUGAUUCCGCUCGAGGAUUGGACCGCGUACUAUUAGCUUGUUGGCGGGGUAAUGGCCCACCAAGGCUGCGAUGGUUACCGGGUGUGAGAGCAUGGCCCGGCUCACUGGGACUGAGACACUGCCCAGACAUCUACGGAUGGCUGCAGUCGAGAAUCUUCGGCAAUGGACGAAAGUCUGACCGAGCGACGCCGCGUGCGGGAUGAAGGCCCUCGGGUUGUAAACCGCUGUCAGUUAGGAGGAAAUCCAUGAGGGUCUCU